GCAAACUUGGUCAUUUAGAGGAAGUAAAAGUCGUAACAAGGUUUCCGUAGGUGAACCUGCGGAAGGAUCAUUAUUGAGCUUAUGGAAGAGCCUUUUCUAGCUUGUUUCCUGUCCGGGGGCAAGCUUUGGAAGGUAGCUCUUCCUUCUCUCUUCACCCAAUUGCCAUUAUUUCUUAAGUUGCUUUGGCAGGCCGGAGUUCCUCCACCUGCCAAGGGAAACCUUUAAACCCUUUUUUAUCCAAUAAUCGGGAUGUCUUUUGUCUGAUUCAUUAUGACUUAAUAAGUUCAUAAAACUUUCAACAACGGAUCUCUUGGUUCUGGCAUCGAUGAAGAACGCAGC
rnacentral:misc_RNA from 1 species